rnacentral:rRNA from 1 species
AACGGAGAGACUAACAGGAUUCCCCUAGUAACUGCGAGUGAAGCGGGAAGAGCUCAAAUUUAAAAUCUGGCGUGCCUCUGGCCGUCCGAGUUGUAGUCUGGAGAAGCGUUUUCCGUGUUGGACCGUGUAUAAGUCUCUUGGAACAGGGCGUCAUAGAGGGUGAGAAUCCCGUCUUUGACACGGACUACCAAUGCUUUGUGAUGCGCUCUCAAAGAGUCGAGUUGUUUGGGAAUGCAGCUCAAAAUGGGUGGUAAAUUCCAUCUAAAGCUAAAUAUAGGCGAGAGACCGAUAGCGAACAAGUACCGUGAGGGAAAGAUGAAAAGCACUUUGGAAAGAGAGUUAAACAGUACGUGAAAUUGCUGAAAGGGAAACGCUUGAAGUCAGUCGUGUCUGCCAGGACUCAGCCUCGCUUCUGCCUGGUGUACUUUCUGGUCGGAUGGGCCAACAUCAAUUUUGACCGUUGGAAAAAGGCCUUGGGAAUGUGGCACCUUCGGGUGUGUUAUAGCCCUUUGUCGUAUGCAACGGUUGGGAUUGAGGACUGCAGCACGCCUUUAUGGCCGGGGGUUUGCCCACGUACGUGCUUAGGAUGUUGGCAUAAUGGCUUUAAGCGACCCGUCUUGAAACACGGACCAAGGAGUCUAACAUGCCUGCGAGUGUUUGGGUGGAAAACCCAUGCGCGUAAUGAAAGUGACAGCUGAGAUCCUCUCAUCAGGAGCAUCAGCACCUGGACUUGAUCUACGGAGACGGUUCUACGGUAGAGCAUGUGUGUUGGGACCCGAAAGAUGGUGAACUAUGCCUGAAUAGGGUGAAGCCAGAGGAAACUCUGGUGGAGGCUCGUAGCGAUUCUGACGUGCAAAUCGAUCGUCAAAUUUGGGUAUAGGGGCGAAAGACUAAUCGAACCAUCUAGUAGCUGGUUCCUGCGA